UACGUAGGUGGCGAGCGUUAUCCGGAUUUAUUGGGCGUAAAGCGUCCGCAGACGGUUUGUUAAGUAUAGAAUCAAAGCCUGAAGCUUAACUUCAGUUCGUUCUAUAAACUGGCAGACUUGAGUGUAGUAGAGGCAAGUGGAACUUCUAGUGUAGCGGUAGAAUGCGUAGAUAUUAGAAAGAACACCAGUGGCGAAGGCGACUUGCUGGGCUAUUACUGACGUUCAUGGACGAAAGCGUGGGGAGCGAAUA
rnacentral:rRNA from 1 species